AUCCUUCUGCUGUUGCCUCUUCUACUUGUCUCUUCUGAAUUCAGUGUAAUUUGGAGUUGCCACCUGGUCCUCUCUGUUUUUCCAAUGGGUAUUGUUAAAAAGCACGCAGAGAGCUUCCAGCAGGCCUUUGUGAGAUGACCUGCCUUCCCCAACAGCAGCAAUGAGAGUCCCAAGAGAGGACUUACCCUCAGGCUUCCUGUUCUAGUUCUGUCCCAUGUGUUACUUUUUAGAUAGUAUUGGAAAAAGCUUUCAGUAUUUUAAUUUAUUAAUCACUAUGCAGAAAAAAGCCCACCGAAAAAUUAGGAAUACAUUUGUAAUGAAGCUACUAAGUAAAGUUAGAUUGACUACUUAUGUAUGAGUAAGUAAGCAGAUCAUAAAAAAACAGAGUUUUUUCCCCUGUGAUGAAGGCUACAUGAUUAUAAAUGUACAUGGAUAUGUGAGUGUGGAAAGUAAUUAUUUUAAUGAAUGAACAUUUCAGGAAUACCUUAACAGCCAUUUGGAGAUUAUUUUGAGAAGGUAAAUGCAGUUAUGGGUCCUCUAAUGAAAUGUAUUAAUUCUUUUAAUGGAACCAAAUAUAAUGUUCCUUUUUUCAGGCAACCAUCCAUUUCAGCAAGAAAUUGCAAGACGUUGCUGAGUAUAAAUGAAAUCAUUCCUGUGUGCUCAACACAGUUAGGUUGGGUCAGGCUUCAUGCAGUUCUUUUCAUUGUGAGAGAGAAUACUAACUUCAGCAAAGGUUCCAGUUGCUGGGCUAGGGAAUUGGGACCUUCUCAGACAGGUGAAAUGCAGGAAUCUGCUCCAAAUACACACCCAGCAGUUGGGAAAUAAGGAAGUCAGCAGGCAGGAAUUUGAUGGCUGGAAAACACCUGGACUCUGCUGGCUGUUUUCACUAUGUGGUUUCUGGAUUAUCCAGGCACCCAGAAGGUCCCUUCAGGCAAUGCAAACCCAUUUUCCCAAAACUAAAGUGCAGUGUUUCUGCAGAACUGAGGAAGAUUUUCCUGGCUGAGAUCUGAAGACAGAGUUUUCACAUAUUCCUGACUGAUAAUUCAGUGUGGAGACAGUCUCCUGGAAAUCCAGCAGUGUGUUAUCAGCCCUGGGAGCACUCUCUUUAGACAGUCCUCUUACAAGUCUGCGAGACUCCACUGUGUGAAGAGGUUAUAGACUUAUCUAGAAGUAUUUGCAAUUCAGCUACAGUGCAUGUGGAGACAACAGCUCAGAGGACUCCUGAAAAAGCAGCCCUGAGUUACUGGCACUAGGAGGUUCUGCUGCUGCUUUCUGCACUCAUUUGACAGAGUCAAAAGAAUUCCAUACACCCCAGAAAGUGCCUUGAAUUUGGUGUCAAGUUAUUUUUCCUUCUUUUAGACAAAGGGAAAAGGUACUGCAGGCCGCCAAUACCUGGUGUAAAUGAGAACAGCCUCAGGAUCACCUUGCCCCAGCAUUGUGUGUGCUUUCCCACGUGAGCACCAGAGAAUCACUGAAUUCAUGUGGCCCUACUGAAGAGGUUUCCAUAUGAAUUCUCUUAUGGAGAGAUUUCUAAGAUGUGGCCUACAAUGGCAGAAGGAAAGCUGUCUACCACCUAACUUUCAUUUUAUGUGUGGUGUCUACUAAAGAAAUGAAGAAGAGGGGUAGAAGGAAUAAGCCGAAAGAGAAGACAAAAGUGUGAGUUGAAAGGAAAAUAAUAAAUCCAUAAUUGUAUGAGGAGGUAGGAAAUAAGUGGAACAGUAGGAUAAGUGUUUACACAUCCAAUCUGUUAUUUUAAAGUUACAUAAAAUCUUGAUCUGUUAAUGCAUUUUACUUGGGUUUUAAUUUAAAGUUAGGAUUGCUAUUCAGAUAAUUAUUUCAAUGGCAAUUCAGGUUUCACUUUGUGGAACUGACUCCUAGCAUUUACUAACAUGUACACUGCCUACAAAAAGUUGGCAUCUCAAAUUCUGAUUCAAAACAAGAUACUGCUUUGCUGGAGAGUACACAGAAAUUAUUUGAGGCUAAUUCUUUUGCUGGGCGAGUUGAUAAUAUCUGUAAAUCCCUCAAUUAUAGUGGAAUAUGUAUAUAUGAGAUAAAACAGUACAGUGUUGUCCUGUCUGGAAAAAACCUUUGGAAAUACCAGCAUGAGACAAGCCUCCUUCUGAUACAUUUCUCAUCUGUAAUUAAAAUUUUGGUGAGAAUCAAUUCUAGUGCAGUGGGAGUGCGUGGAAUCAUGUCUGGCAUCUGCUGGAAUGCUGAUGGCAUUAUUAAGCUUGAUGACAGACCCUCUCAAGUGACGAUUAGAGAGGAGUGCUAAUAACACCUGCUACAUAAACUCUCUGAAGCCAGUAAGGAAAAUGUUGAGACAAAGCCAUGGUUCUCGGUUGAUGCUCUGCAAGCUCCGUUUCACAAAGACAGAAUUUCUCUGGAGGCUUUAAGAAGAAUCCCUGUAGCUGCCUGGAACCUGCUCAUUCAUUUUAUUUCCAGACCAGAUCCAGAGAUGCGUAUCCUUUUCAGCUGGAGACAGUUUUAAACUAAAACUAUUUUCAUUUGGAGGAAGGGUAUAAAAUAGCUGUGCGUGUACAUGAAACAGGGGCUCUGAAAAGAGCUUGUGUCAGCCUGAGGAAACAAAAGAUCUAUUUGCAGAAUUGCCAUCUGUGCUGGUUUUGGCUAGGAUAUAGUUAAUUUUUUAUUUCACAGUAACUGGUAUAUUUUGAAUUUCUACUGUAAACAGUGUUGGGUAGUGCGAUGUUUCAGUUUUUGCUGAGGUCACACACAUUCAUAUGCAGCCAAUUGUAUUAUAUUGAUUUGAAAUUUUACAGAACUUCUCACAGCCUGAUAAUGAAGAUUGGUGCUAAAUAAGCAGCUGGACAAUGGAUUAAAUAGGCAACUGGAGGACAUAUAGUAGGUACAGAAACUUCCCUGCCUUAACCAAUCCUGUGCAGUGGUCCCUAUCUACAGGUGUUACAGUUGAAACAAACAUACCAUCACACCAUGACAGAAGAGGAAAAAGAAACAGCGUUCAAGUAUGGCAGUGGCAUGGAACAUCUGGGAAGCAUCUUCACAGCAUGUUUUUGAAAGAGGCAACAGAGCAAGCAGAAUUGCUGCCAGCAGGGAAAAGACAGAGCUAAAGGAGCAGAAACAGAAGCACACAGGUGAUUUGUACCUUCUACCCUAUAAUGGCCAGUGUUGACAUCUACCCAUAAAGCAGUACUGCCUUGGACAUGUAAAGAUAGGAAGUCUUCUAUGCCGUACUUUUAAAACACAAACUGUUCUGCUUUCAUGAAGAUUCACAACAGCAACGUGCAGCUGCUGAGUAUGGUUUGUUUGGACCCAUUCACUUCAACCUCACAACAUAAAAAACACGGUUCCACUGUGAUUUCUAUGGCUUUGACUUAGUUUUACAUAUUGCUGCUUCCAAUUUUGUUCUAACCUUCUGUAUGGCUUCUGGGUGAAACCACUACAAAAAUCCAAGGAAGAUGCAUCCUCUCAUUCUUCAUUCUUCCCUCCCUCUGCCCAUGGAAAUGCACUAUGGCUGAAAGAGAUUGAAUCUUGAGCAAUCUGUUUGCUGAAACUUUUCCACGGCCUUUUAUUGUAUUGUGAUAUAAGAAUCUUCCUGUGUCAGUCACUUCUUGAUGAUAGAGCAAUAGUCUAGAUGUGCCUUCUGAAGGCAUCCUAAUACAAAUGCUGUUGUUUUCAUGGUAAGUUGUUUAUCUCCUGGUAUAAUAUUUAACUACCAAAAUACUUAGCAAUCAUUAAUAUUAAUAAACACCACUAUUAAAUCCAA